rnacentral:rRNA from 1 species
GAUCAUGGCUCAGGAUGAACGCUAGCGACAGGCUUAACACAUGCAAGUCGAGGGGCAGCACAGGUAGCAAUACCGGGUGGCGACCGGUCGCACGGGUGAGUAACGCGUAUGCAACUUACCUAUCAGAGGGGGAUAACCCGGCGGAAAGUCGGACUAAUACCGCAUGAAGCAGGGCCCGCAUGGGAUAUUUGCUAAAGAUUAUCGCUGAGUAAGAUAGGCAUGCGUUCCCAUUAGG